UUUUACUUUUUAUUUCUAGCAAAACUAUGAUACUGUUUUUUAAUUGGUUAAGAAUUAUUCGGCUAUCGCCUCGCAACGCGGUCGGGGAUUAAUAUAUAGAUACUGAUUUCUCUCUGUUCCUCGUCUCUCUCUUUCUUCCUUAUCUCUCUCCCAAAAACUAGCGUUCCGCCUUCCCCAUUUCAUCUCGGAAAACCAACAAUUACAAUCACCAUCCAGGUAUGCUGACGUUCACCACAAUUGCGUUACAAAAUCUACUCGAACAUCGUAUACCCACCAAAGAUUCUUCAUCAACUUUGAAACCCACAAAUCACGGACACGAUAAAGAAGAAGAUGAGCAAUUGAAACCAACAAAGAGGUUGAAUCACAUAUACAUAUCACCUGCUCCCUACACCACACCUGAACCCACUCCAAUCUUGGAUUAUCCUGCAUCCUCGUCUCCCUUCGUGUUCAAUCGCAAGGGACGGGGUGGUGGUAAGUCGGCGAAUAGGCGAAUUGACGGGUUUGAGGUUCAGAGUUGUGGAAAUGGAGAAGAUGAAUUGGUGGAGAGUGGUUUGUUUGAUGGAGGGGGUGAAAGUGAAAAUUGUAUGGUGGCUGAAGUUUAGCCUAUUAAUAAGUCUAAAACUAUGUAUUUUUACUUUAAUUUGCGUACCGUAAUGUCGUUGAGAUAGUCAUGUUUUGGAAAUUAAUGUUGCUAGUGUCUUUGAUUACAGGAAGCAUUGGAGCACUUAGCAACUAUUGAUAUGAAAAUUGUAUGGUGGCUAAAGUUGAGGAUUGCAGGGCUACACGGGACUUAAGAAGCUGUGGAUGUAGUGUUCAAAGUGUGUUGAAUUCGUGUGGCCAUGUCUUUAUGUGAAGAGUGUAGUCACUGUCAGCGUAGUGAUGUUUGCCCGAUCUGCAGAGUUUGCAUACCGAAAACCGGUAACAGGCUCUCGCUUGGCCUGUAUUAUGAGUGCAUAAGUGCAUUGAAGCUGGUCUUAUUCAAAGAGAUAUGAUGACAGGUAACGGUCGUAUUUGUUUUUCGAUGUUGCGUUGGAGAACAGUUUGUUAUCUCUAAUCUGCCAUUAUAUUACAGAUGUUUGUAUGGAUGAAAGUGCUGUUUCUAGCGACCCGGUUGUCCCUUUGUUGCUCGAUGAAGUGGUUGUCAAAGACUGGUGCAAGAGGACAUUUAAGAAUAUUAAUGUAGAGGAAAUGAAGGAAAGGUCAAACGUGCUUCUCAAGUUUAGAGCGAGGCUAGCGUGCAUAUUAACUGUCCUUGAAGUGUUGGGGUUUUAAUGUUGGUGGUGUUUUCGGCAAUGUUUUAAUUUACAGAGUGAAAGAGAGAGAUAAUGAAGAAAUAGAAAGAAAUGAUUUUAAUUUAUUUUUUAACUAUAAGGGUAUUUUGAUCA